AGUAAAGUCAGCUAACCAAGCUUUCGGGCCCAUACCCCUAACAUGUAGGCUAAACUCCUUCCUUUACUA
rnacentral:tRNA from 1 species